rnacentral:rRNA from 1 species
GACGAACCGAGCGAACGUUGUUCGGAAUCACUGGGCUUAAAGGGCUCGUAGGCGGCCAACUAAGUCGGACGUGAAAUCCCCAGGCUCAACCUGGGAACUGCGUCCGAUACUGGAUGGCUUGAAUCCGGGAGAGGGAUGCAGAAUUCCAGGUGUAGCGGUGAAAUGCGUAGAUAUCUGGAGGAAUACCGGUGGCGAAGGCGGCAUCCUGGACCGGCAUUGACGCUGAGGAGCGAAAGCCAGGGGAGCAACGGG